GGUGAAUGGAAACAACUUUCCAGUCAUCCAGUAACUGGUCCGUUCAAGUCCAAAAUGCCUCCUGGGAGAGAUCAUUUUGCAGGGGCUACAUCAAAUGUCGUGCAGCCUCCCUGGGCAGGAUUUGCAGCUGUUCUGGAAUGAAAGGAACCUAUUUCCCUGUGGGACUGCCCAGCUUUCAGCCCUGCUUCUGGGGGAAGAGUUCACCACAGGACACCUCGUGUAUCUGCUCUGGUUUGAAACCAAACAUACUGAGAAAUGUUGAGAAACCCAACUCCCAACCAUCACCCACUGCUGGAGCCUGUGGGGCUGAGCUGGACCCCAAGGAGGAGCGCUUUGUGCCAGUGCCC